GACGUAGGAGGCGAGCGUUGUCCGGAUUCAUUGGGCGUAAAGAGCGCGCAGGCGGCUUGGUAAGUCGGAUGUGAAAUCCCGAGGCUCAACCUCGGGUCUGCAUCCGAUACUGCCCGGCUAGAGGUAGGUAGGGGAGAUCGGAAUUCCUGGUGUAGCGGUGAAAUGCGCAGAUAUCAGGAGGAACACCGGUGGCGAAGGCGCCGCUCUGGGCCGAAACUGACGCUGAGGAGCGAAAGCAUGGGUAGCAAACAGG
rnacentral:rRNA from 1 species